GUGUUUCCAUUGGUCAGUUUCUCCGUGAGGACCAGAGCAGCUGGGGUAGCAUGCCCCUGUCAGCCCCGUCCUGAAGACGUCUGGUUUCUUCAGACCCACUAGAGCAAUUCCAGGCUACACUGCACACCCUCGUCUGGCCUCUCCUUCUAUUGAUUUCUGGUUCUGGGGAAGCCCAAGCCCUGAGGUGACAUUGGGACAGAUCAACAGAGCCUGUUCCUCUCACGGGGGAAGGUGGGGGACAUCCUAGGUGUUCUCCAGUUUCCAUUAGCGAUGCCCUUGGGCACGCAUGAAGAUAUGUUGCAGGCACUUCCGGUGGAGAGGCUCCUGCUUGUUGGGGAUGAACUGGGUGAUGGGUCACUGAAUUGAUGCACCCUCUUGGAAUGCUCACCAGAUCCAUGCCCCACAGUAGGGGCAGCUGGAGAAGGGGCUCCCGCAUUUACAGGUGAGGUGAAUGAAGCCGGGCAACCUGCUUCUUCUGGUCUCUUUGUUCUGGAGCUGGGAUCCGGAAGGAAGUGGGUGGGAGUUGCUUGCCCUGUGGAGAAGAUGACCUCACAUGUAGUCUGAGGAAUUCUUCUGAAAGAUCAGAGUCUGGAGCUCCAGUUCCCGUUGCCCCCACCCCUACAUUAGGGGGUAAAGCCUGAGAUCACCGCUGGGUGAUGGGGCUCUGAUGUAUUUCAGUCUGGAAAACCACAUCCUCUCUGACAGGUUGCUCUGGCUACCAUUGCUGGGGCCCCUGGAGGGGGAAUCCACAGAACUGCAGAGGGGCGCUUGGGCGGGCGGUGGGGGGGAGACCCAGUCACUGUAUCAACACUGGGGGAGUCAGGGAGCAUGGAGAUACCAGAAAGGCACUGACAGCAGGCAGGGAUCGCUCUCCCCAACGUGUGAACCCCAAAACAGAGGGGCGCCAAACAGGCCAAAAAGGCCUGAGACUUUGCUUCCCCUCCCCCCAACCCUAUACCAUGCCCAGGGAGGACAUCCCUCUCCUCCUGCUCAGGUCAGAGCACCCCCCCCCGCAAGGGUCUGGAGGAUCCUGGGAGGCCACAGUAGGGGGGCGGGAUGGGGCCCAUCAGUCCCAGGAACCUGGGUGCAGCUUAGACGUCCACUCGUUGUGGGGCUUUGAGUGCCCUCGUCCGUGAGUCUGUCAUCAGGAGAAGCAUGAUGUGUAAUGGGUGAUCUGACACUCCGUAACCUGGGUCUCUGUAGUGCACCAAAGCAUUCAUCGCAAUAUGACAAAGAGAGCAGUCAGCCUUCUGCCAGGAGGCACUUAAAUUCCUAUUUUGGGUGAUCCGUGGAAAGAAAUUCACUCCUGAAACCGCAGAAGCAAACUCGGACCCAUGGGCUUAGCCCGCGGACACAAGGAGACCAUGGCUUUUCCCGAAAUUCCAGACACAAGAAAAGGUUUGGGACCCAAGCAAGCAGCUGAGCUCUCAGGCCCAGGGGCCGAUCUAGAACGCCAGUCUCCUUAACGCAAAAGAAAUCAGUGUCACCAAGCACUGUUUUCGAAUACCUGCAUGAGAGCUUAACAUGGGGUCUGAGUUGACAACCCUGUCCCGUGAUUCCCGCUCACAGAACGCGUUUGUAAGGGGGUGCUCACAAAACCUGAAGGGACAGAUUUUCACCCACUGUUAGAGUCAAUAUUUACCUUGGAAGAAAGCAGGCGUCAGAACUUGCCAAUGGAGGUUUGGUCAGCACACCUGGGUGCUCGGUUGAAAUCAUGUCCUUCAACUGACACCCCUCGGAAAAUGCUGGGAUUUUUGUUACAAUGGAGAAAUGUCACCCAGCCCGGUGUGGCGAGAAAGCACCUGCUACGAUAAUUUCAACAACUCGUUCUAGGUGACUCCGGUGUUUCCUCCUGCAUCACACAGCAGGCUGGGUGCACUUUCCUCACCUUAUUUGUGUUUCUGUUGCUCUUUCUUUUAACCUUUUUUUUUUUUUUUUAAUUUUGGAGAAGAGACACUUUGUUCCAAGUUUCGACUCUGGGACAGCGACAAACCCCCACAGCCAAAACACUCUGCAGCUGUGUCCUUUGGAGCAAGGAACGAGAGCUUCUCUGCUGACCUCACCUCACCCCAGAGGCGAGUCCUCUGCGUUCACCCAGGUUGGACUCAGGCAGGCGACAGACAUGUGCGGCACCAGCCAGGUCCCCCCGGUGGCCCUGCCCACGGCAGCACGCCAUCCAUCACGCCACAGUCAAGACGCCAGCCAGCAGCCAGGCCGCCACAACAAGCAAAACGAGGCGGGCACCGCUGGCUCCUGUCAAGGCCUCCCGUGCACCAGCAGCCUUCAUGUUAAUGGGAGAAGUUGACUGAGACUAUUUGACGCAGUUGCUGGAAACUAAACAGAGCAGGAGAAUGAUAAGCAAAGCUCUUACUUAAUUAAAAGCACAUUUAUACAAGGUUCGGCCUGGCAGGAAAAUGACAAAGGCAGUUAAAAUUUUAAAAUCAAGCCAUUUUCUCUUGAGAGAUUUCUGCCAGACCCUGGUGGAUUCAGGAUGCUGGGUUUUCUCUUCCAACAGAGCCUGAACAUCUGAGCCGGGGUGAGCCAAGUGUGAGCUCCCUGGCUGUUUUCAAAGAAGUGGAACUUUUUCCCCAAAGUGAUUCCCCUUUCUGGAGCCAAUGGCAAGAGCGAGGCAUGCUAGGCAUGGGCCUGGAUGUGGCCCCCUCCAGAAACACAAGGAUGGAUGUGGAAAGUACGGGGUGACUCUCUGUAGGAACAAGGGACCUUUGAUAUGCCUCCAUGAAAAUGGCUUCUUUGAGAAGACGGUCUUAAGAGUGGGUCACGGCGGCAGACGAAGGCACCAGGAAAGCCUGGGUGGAGAAAAGUGAAACGUUACAAGGUGAGAGCCGUCCUCCUCUCUUUGAAAAAAGAACUGUACGAAUCCUUUGUAAUUCCAGAAGGAAGACCUGGGGCCGAUGGGGAAAUUACAGAAGGGAGGAUUUCCAAUUAACAGAAGAACUUUCCAAGGAGUAUUGCUCAAAUAGGAAACCACAGGCAGUUCAGCCUGCCUCGGGAUGUGCUGGAAGAGACCACAGCCUGUGUCUUGGUGGUACUGAGGCGGGGCAGGGGGGAGGGGCAGUGUCCCACACUGGGGGCAGGACCCGGGGACAAAGUAAACACCUGCCGUGUUCUAAAAAUUCUCGGAUUCCGCAUCAUUGCGUAACACUCUGUAGAAACAUGUAUUUAUUGCUCAGAAAUUUGGAAAACAAUUGUUCUUGGACAUUUUACUGUUUAUUUGUCAAAUCCAUUUCUGAAUGAGAAUCCAUUUGGUAAGGCAAAGGCAUUUGAGCGCUCUCCGCUGGUCUAAGAACUUCAUAUUUCCUCAGUGAAUCAUUAUAAUCUGUGCACAUGGACAGAAUUCUCGCUCCUGGCGCCAAAAAGUACAAUCAACCAAGGGAGAGUGUUUCUUAAAUAAAAGUGGUGUUUCUAGUUGGCAAAA